GCGUGAGCGAUGAAGGCCUUAGGGUUGUAAAGCUCUUUCACCGGUGACGAUAAUGACGGUAGCCGGAGAAGAAGCCCCGGCUAACUCCGUGCCAGCAGCCGCGGUAAUACGGAGGGGGCUAGCGUUGUUCGGAAUUACUGGGCGUAAAGCGCACGUAGGCGGACCGUUAAGUCGGGGGUGAAAUCCCGGGGCUCAACCCCGGAACUGCCUCCGAUACUGGCGGUCUUGAGUUCGAGAGAGGCGGGUGGAAUUCCGAGUGUAGAGGUGAAAUUCGU
rnacentral:rRNA from 1 species